GGCUUUUUCCCUCCCCUCGUUGCUCCCUGUGGGUGCUCAGAGAGGGAAAAUUUGGGGAAUUUCACCCUAAAAUAUUCUGGAUUUGGUUUUCCCAAAUUUUCCCUUUUUUUCCCAAAUUUUUCCAAUUUUUUCCUGAUUUUUUUCCCAUUUUUUUCUCCCAAUUUUUCCCAAUUUUCCCCAUUUUUGCCCUUUUUUUUUCCCUUCGUUGCUCCCUAUGGGUGCUCAGAGAGGGAAAAUUUGGGGAAUUUCACCCUAAAAUAUUCUGGAUUUGGUUUUCCCAAAUUUUCCCUUUUUUUCCCAAUUUUUCCCUUUUUUUCCCAAAUUUUUCCGAUUUUUUCCUGAUUUUUUUCACAUUUUUUUCUCCCAAUUUUUUGCUUUUUUCCCCCUUUUUGCCCUUUUUUUUUCCCUCCCCUCGUUGCUCCCUAUGGGUGCUCAGAGAGGAAAAUUUGGGGAAUUUCAGCCUAAAAUAUUCUAGACUUGGUUUUACCAAAUUUUCCCUUUUUUUCCCAAAUUUUUCCCAAAUUUUUCCGAUUUUUUCCUGAUUUUUUUCCCAUUUUUUUCUCCCAAUUUUUCCCAAUUUUCCCCAUUUUCGGCCCUUUUUUUUCCCCCCUGGUUGCUCCCUAUGGGUGCUCAGAGAGGAGAAAAUUUGGGAGUUUCAGCCUAAAAUAUUCUAGAAUUGCUUUUCCCAAAU
rnacentral:lncRNA from 12 species